UACAGAGGGUGCGAGCGUUGUUCGGAAUUACUGGGCGUAAAGAGUGCGUAGGCGGUUUCUCAAGUCCGCUGUGAAAUCCCCGGGCUCAACCUGGGAAUGGCAGUGGAAACUAGGAGACUUGAAUCUGGCAGAGGGGGGGUGGAAUUCCGACGUGUAGCAGUGAAAUGCGUAGAGAUGUGGAGGAACACCGAUGGCGAAGGCAGCCCCCUGGGCUGAGAUUGACGCUCAGGCACGAAAGCGUGGGGAGCAAACAGG
rnacentral:rRNA from 1 species